AGUAGGCGAACGGGUGAGUAAUAUAUCGGAACGUACCCAGGUCGUGGGGGAUAACGUAGCGAAAGCUACGCUAAUACCGCAUACGAUCUAUGGAUGAAANCGGGGGAUCGCAAGACCUCGCGCGAUUGGAGCGGCCGAUAUCAGAUUAGGUAGUUGGUGAGGUAAAGGCUCACCAAGCCGACGAUCUGUAGCUGGUCUGAGAGGACGACCAGCCACACUGGGACUGAGACACGGCCCAGACUCCUACGGGAGGCAGCAGUGGGGAAUUUUGGACAAUGGGCGCAAGCCUGAUCCAGCAAUGCCGCGUGCAGGAUGAAGGCCUUCGGGUUGUAAACUGCUUUUGUACGGAACGAAACGGUGAGCUCUAAUACAGUUUGCUAAUGACGGUACCGUAAGAAUAAGCACCGGCUAACUACGUG
rnacentral:rRNA from 1 species